rnacentral:rRNA from 1 species
CAAUAGCGUAUAUUAAAGUUGUUGCGGUUAAAAAGCUCGUAGUUGGAUUUCUGCUGAGAACGACCGGUCCGCCCUCUGGGUGUGUAUCUGGCUCUUUCUUGGCAUCUUCUUGGUGAACGUUGCUGCACUUGACUGUGUGGAGCGCUACCCAGGACUUUUACUUUGAGGAAAUUAGAGUGUUUCAAGCAGGCAUACGCCUUGAAUACAUUAGCAUGGAAUAAUAAGAUAGGACCUCGGUUCUAUUUUGUUGGUUUCUAGAGCUGAGGUAAUGAUUAAUAGGGAUAGUUGGGGGCAUUCGUAUUUAACUGUCAGAGGUGAAAUUCUCGGAUUUGUUAAAGACUAACUUAUGCGAAAGCAUUUGCCAAGGAUGUUUUCAUUAA